ACGGGAGGCAGCAGUGGGGGAUAUUGCACAAUGGGGGAAACCCUGAUGCAGCGACGCCGCGUGAGCGAUGAAGUAUUUCGGUAUGUAAAGCUCUAUCAGCAGGGAAGAAUAAUGACGGUACCUGACUAAGAAGCACCGGCUAAAUACGUACCAGCAGCCGCGGUAAUACGUAUGGUGCAAGCGUUAUCCGGAUUUACUGGGUGUAAAGGGAGCGCAGGCGGUACGGCAAGUCUGAUGUGAAAGCCCGGGGCUCAACCCCGGUACUGCAUUGGAAACUGUCGAACUAGAGUGUCGGAGGGGUAAGUGGAAUUCCUAGUGUAGCGGUGAAAUGCGUAGAUAUUAGGAGGAACACCAGUGGCGAAGGCGGCUUACUGGACGAUAACUGACGCUGAGGCUCGAAAGCGUGGGGAGCAAACAGGAUUAGAUACCCUGGUA
rnacentral:rRNA from 1 species